rnacentral:tRNA from 1 species
AGCUUUAUAUUCAAUUUAACUAUGAUUUUAGAAUGCAAUUCUAUAGGAGUGAUAUAAAUCUUAAUUCACUAAGGCUU